rnacentral:rRNA from 1 species
UACAGAGGGUGCAAGCGUUGUCCGGAAUCAUUGGGCGUAAAGCGCGUGUAGGCGGUUCGAUAAGUCUGCUGUGAAAGUCCAGGGCUCAACCCUGGGAUGCCGGUGGAUACUGUCGGACUAGGGUGCGGAAGAGGCGAGUGGAAUUCCCGGUGUAGCGGUGAAAUGCGCAGAUAUCGGGAGGAACACCAAUUGCGAAGGCAGCUCGCUGGGACGUUACUGACGCUGAGACGCGAAAGCGUGGGGAGCAAACAGG